AGUCGAACGAACCUUGAAAAUGAUACUUCGGUUGAUUUUUCGCUGGUUAGUGGCAAACGGGUGAGUAAUGCAUAAGUAACCUGCCUUAUAGUCUGGGAUAACUUUCCGAAAGGGAAGCUAAUACCGGAUACACUUACUUUUUCAUAAGAUUAAGUAAGGAAAGUUUUUCGCUGUAAGAUGGGCUUAUGUCUGAUUAGCUAGUUGGUGAGAUAAUAGCUCACCAAGGCUUCGAUCAGUAACUGGUCUGAGAGGAUGAACAGUCACACUGGAACUGAGACACGGUCCAGACUCCUACGGGAGGCAGCAGUGAGGAAUAUUGCGCAAUGGGCGAAAGCCUGACGCAGCGACGCCACGUGAGCGAUGAAGUUUUUCGGAAUGUAAAGCUCUGUCAAGAGGGACGAUUAUGACGGUACCUCUAAAGGAAGCCCCGGCUAACUACGUGCCAGCAGCCGCGGUAAUACGUAGGGGGCAAGCGUUAUCCGGAUUUAUUGGGCAUAAAGAGCAUGUAGGCGGUUUUUUAAGUCAGGUGUUAAAGGCUACAGCUUAAACUGUAGUUCGCCCCUGAAACUGGAAAACUAGAGUUUAGUAGAGGAAAAGCGGAAACUCACAGUGUAGCGGUGAAAUGCGUAGAUAAUUGUGAGGAACCACCAGUUGCGAGGCCGGCUUUCUGGACUAAAUACUGACGCUGAGAUGCGAAAGCGUGGGGGGCGAACGGGAUUAGAUACCCCGGUAGUCCACGCCGUAAACGUUGUUCACCUAGUGUUGGAGGUAUCGACCCCUUCAGUGCCACAGA
rnacentral:rRNA from 1 species